AAAAAUGUCUUAUCGCAUAGGUCAUCGGCCUCUGCGAUCCAAAUAUAAUCACCAGUUGCUGCAGAGACUCCUUUUAUCCAUUGUUUAAAUACAGAACCAGAGUUUUUAUCAUUAAUAAUCUGUUGAACCUUCAGGUGGGUCUUAUUUUCUUUUGAAAGCAGCUUUUUAAAAGUUGAUACGCUAUGAUCAGUGGAGGCAUCGUCUAAGAAAAUUAGUUCGUAAAGAGGGUAGGUUUGGUUUAAUAUUGAUUCGAUUCGAUCAGGUAAGUAUUUUUCAUAAUUAUAGUUCGGUAUGAUUACACUUAUCUUUUUGUAAUUAUGUUCGAGAAGAUCUAGUAAUUGAUAAAUGUAAUUAAGAAAAUUGAAGUUUUUUUCGAUAAGUUCUUGGCCAAAGCUUCCCUUUUGUAAUCGUAAUCCCUCAUCAUGAAUAAAUUCAUAUAUUUUUUCUAGCAUUUUGGGUAAAUUUAAAAAGUCUACUAAGGCACCAGUUUUUUCUGUAACAACAUCUUCAAAACCUCCAGCAUUUUUAAACCCUAUAACAGGAAGUUUUGCAUCUAAUGCUUCUAAAACAACAUUUGGAAAAGGAUCUUCCCUUGAAGUUAAUAAGUAUAAGUCAGCCCCAGCGUUAUAUAAUCCGAUAUCGGGAGUAGGAUCGACUAAUGUGAAAUGUGCUUUAUAUUUAGGGGGCAGUGUAUUCAGGAAUUGAACGUUUGUUCUCCCUACCCAAAUGAAAUGAAUAUCCUUGUGAGUCUUUCUUACUGAGUAAGAGAUAAGUGAGAAUAAAUCUAUCCCUUUCCGAUAAUCUGCGAAGCCUACACCCAAGAUGAUUUUGCUAUCUAGAGGCAGGUUAAGCUUCUUACGUAACUCAUUUCUAGCUUUUGCAAUAUUGUUCUUAUAAGGAUUGUGGUUAAACAAACCUUGAGGGAGAAUGUGACAUUUUUGAGGAUCCAAUUCAGUGAUUGUACGAAAUUUUUCAUAUACGUAUUGUGAAGGGAAGACAACUUUGUAAGCAAAUUCAGCGAUGUUUUUAGCUUUCCCUUCAGCAGAGUACUGUUGUAUUAAAUGCGGUAAUUCAUGUAUUAAUGAAACAACUUUUAUAUUUUGUCUAGCUAGUAAUGCGACGAUAUCGCCACUUAUGACAGUGCUACAUAUGGCGAGGGUAAAAUUCUGUGAUAAUAAAUCCUUUAUUAAUAAUUCGACCUUUUCUUCUGUUUGAUAACCUUGCUCGAGACAAUAAACAGGACCAUACUUUUGAAAAUCGGGAAUUAAAAUACCGGAUCCAAUAGAAAUAAUUGCAACAGAGUAAUCAAAGUUUUCUUUAAGAGCCUUAAUAGUAUGUAAAGAAAGUAGCUGUGCUCCGUGGAAAUGGGCAUCAUGGGAUACAUAAAUUAUCUUUUUAUUAACAUGCAUUUCAUAACGCCUCCUAAGGGUAUUAGAUUUCUUUCCCUUUUUUAAAGGUAAAGAAGAGAAGUGUUUUAUUUAUAAUCCCCCUAGAGACUGGGAUAACUCCGGGAAACCGGGGCUAAUACCGGAUAACAUUUUGAACCGCAUGGUUCGAAAUUGAAAGGCGGCUUCGGCUGUCACUUAUGGAUGGACCCGCGUCGCAUUAGCUAGUUGGUGAGGUAACGGCUCACCAAGGCAACGAUGCGUAGCCGACCUGAGAGGGUGAUCGGCCACACUGGGACUGAGACACGGCCCAGACUCCUACGGGAGGCAGCAGUAGGGAAUCUUCCGCAAUGGACGAAAGCCUGACGGAGCAACCCCGCGUGAGUGAUGAAGGCUUUCGGGUCGUAAAACUCUGUUGUUAGGGAAGAACAAGUGCUAGUUGAAUAAGCUGGCACCUUGACGGUACCUAACCAGAAAGCCACGGCUAACUACGUGCCAGCAGCCGCGGUAAUACGUAGGUGGCAAGCGUUAUCCGGAAUUAUUGGGCGUAAAGCGCGCGCAGGUGGUUUCUUAAGUCUGAUGUGAAAGCCCACGGCUCAACCGUGGAGGGUCAUUGGAAACUGGGAGACUUGAGUGCAGAAGAGGAAAGUGGAAUUCCAUGUGUAGCGGUGAAAUGCGUAGAGAUAUGGAGGAACACCAGUGGCGAAGGCGACUUUCUGGUCUGUAACUGACACUGAGGCGCGAAAGCGUGGGGAGCAAACAGGAUUAGAUACCCUGGUAGUCCACGCCGUAAACGAUGAGUGCUAAGUGUUAGAGGGUUUCCGCCCUUUAGUGCUGAAGUUAACGCAUUAAGCACUCCGCCUGGGGGGUACGGCCGCAAGGCUGAAACUCAAAGGAAUUGACGGGGGCCCGCACAAGCGGUGGAGCAUGUGGUUUAAUUCGAAGCAACGCGAAGAACCUUACCAGGUCUUGACAUCCUCUGAAAACCCUAGAGAUAGGGCUUCUCCUUCGGGAGCAGAGUGACAGGUGGUGUAUGGUUGUCGUCAGCUCGUGUCGUGAGAUGUUGGGUUAAGUCCCGCAACGAGCGCAACCCUUGAUCUUAGUUGCCAUCAUUAAGUUGGGCACUCUAAGGUGACUGCCGGUGACAAACCGGAGGAAGGUGGGGAUGACGUCAAAUCAUCAUGCCCCUUAUGGCCUGGGCUACACACGUGCUACAAUGGACGGUACAAAGAGCUGCAAGACCGCGAGGUGGAGCUAAUCUCAUAAAACCGUUCUCAGUUCGGAUUGUAGGCUGCAACUCGCCUACAUGAAGCUGGAAUCGCUAGUAAUCGCGGAUCAGCAUGCCGCGGUGAAUACGUUCCCGGGCCUUGUACACACCGCCCGUCACACCACGAGAGUUUGUAACACCCGAAGUCGGUGGGGUAACCUUUUUGGAGCCAGCCGCCUAAGGUGGGACAGAUGAUUGGGGUGAAGUCGUAACAAGGUAGCCGUAUCGGAAGGUGCGGCUGGAUCACCU
rnacentral:rRNA from 1 species